rnacentral:rRNA from 1 species
GAUGAACGCUGGCGGCGUGCCUAACACAUGCAAGUCGAGCGCGAUUAAGUGGAGUGGGGACUUCGGUCAAAGCGAAGCUUAUGAAAGCGGCGGACGGGUGAGUAACGCGUGGGCAACCUGCCCCAUACAGAGGGAUAGCCACUGGAAACGGUGAUUAAUACCUCAUGAGUCAGUAACAUCGCAUGAUGUAGCUGACAAAGAUUUAUCGGUAUGGGAUGGGCCCGCGUCUGAUUAGCUAGUUGAUGAGGUAACGGCUCACCAAGGCGACGAUCAGUAGCCGACCUGAGAGGGUGAUCGGCCACACUGGAACUGAGACACGGUCCAGACUCCUACGGGAGGCAGCAGUGGGGAAUAUUGCACAAUGGGCGCAAGCCUGAUGCAGCAACGCCGCGUGAGUGAUGAAGGCCUUCGGUUGUUAAACUACUGUCCUAUGGGAAGAAGUAAAAUAGACGGUACCG